rnacentral:rRNA from 1 species
AGUGAACGCUGGCGGUAGGCCUAACACAUGCAAGUCGAACGGCAGCACAGUAAAAGCUUGCUCUUACGGGUGGCGAGUGGAGGACGGGUGUGGAAUACAUCGGACUCUACUUUUUCGUGGGGGCUAACGUAGGGAAACAUACGCUAAUACCGCAUACGACCUAAGGGUGAAAGCAGGGGAUCUUCGAACCUUGCUCGAUUGAAUGACCCGAUGUGGGGUUAGCGAGUUGGCGGGGUAAAGGCCCACCAAGGCGACGAUCCGUAGCUGGUCUGAGAGGGUGACCGGCCACACUGGAACUGAGACACGGCCCAGAUUCCUACGGGAGGAAGCGGUGGGGAAUAUUGGACAAUGGGCGCAAGCCUGCUCCAGACAUACCGCUUGGGGGAAGAAGGCUUUCGGGUUGAAAAGCCUUUUUGUUGGGAAAGAAAGGCAGCAGGUUAAUACCCCGAUGUUCUGACGGUACCCAAAGAAUAAGCACCGGCUAACUUCGUG